UUAAGCUUUGUACUAACAAUCACGUCGUUAUUAACUAAAAGGAGUUGGACACUCGCACUGAGCUAUGAGACGGUACCGCUACACGUGCAGACGAUCUAGCAACAUGCGCAGCGUUUGCUAGAUGGUUUGCAGUGUCGCUAAUCUCGCUACUUUUCUGCCCCCACCCCGUCGUUCAGUAUGGGAAUAAGACACUUCUAUCUAAUUAGGAUUUCAGUCUUAACACUAUGGUACUUAAACUGUACACGUCAGCGGAUACAGUCACGUGACUACUCUGGGCAAAGUAAUUUCUUUGUAUUCCUCUCUCUCGGGCCACAAAAGGACAAAUUCUAAAGCACAGGAGUAUAUAAGUACUCUCAAGGUUGCUUUGUAUUAUCUGAGCGACUUUUGGUGUCGUUGGAGAUCUGUACUUGCAUAUUAAGAGUUUAGCUGAAAACUAUGCCGAAGCCUAAUAUAGUCGUCGUUGGUGGCAUGCCAGCUACCAACACAGUUGUGGUGGAAAGGUG
rnacentral:sRNA from 1 species